UACGGGGGGAGCAAGCGUUGUUCGGAUUUACUGGGCGUAAAGGGCGCGGUAGGCGGUCGUGACAAGUCACUUGUGAAAUCUCCGGGCUUAACUCGGAAACGGUCAAGUGAUACUGUCGGACUAGAGUACAGAAGGGGGCAACUGGAAUUCUCGGUGUAGCGGUGAAAAUGCGUAGAUAUCGAGAGGAACACCUGCGGCGAAGGCGGGUUGCUGGGCUGAUACUGACGCUGAGGCGCGAAAAGCCAGGGGAGGCGAAACGGGG
rnacentral:rRNA from 1 species